GCCAAUUUAGAAUCCCAAUUUUUUUAAAAAUUUAUUUUGUUGAAGUAUAGUUGAUCUACAAUGUUGUGCUAAGAAUCUCAUUUUUCUUUAUCAUACAUUGUAACAGUCUUUACAGAUGUUUUCUCAUCUGACUGUGAAGUCUGUCCAUGUCUUCAAUACCACCCGUGAUCCAGAGCACUUUUCAGAUGCAGAGUCAUGUCUCAUCUUUCCCAGCAUCAAGGUCAGCAUCAUCCUCAGGUACUACACUUAAUAUAUCAUCUGUUGGUCUACAAACUGAAGAGGAACACAGCUAUAGAGAAUGUAUCUGUACCGAGUGUCUAUAAAUUCUUCACAGAGGU
rnacentral:lncRNA from 1 species